AGCUUGUUUGUUGAACAAUUUCUCAUGAACAGUAGCCACACAGAAAUGUCCAAAAUUUGGAACCUUCUCCGGUGAGUGUAGAGAAAUUUCAUCCAGACAUUUAUGAAGAUAUCAGGACACCAGCUGAAAGUGGCCUAAAUGUUCAAAAUGGUGAGGUGUUCAUUCCUUGUUAAUCAUAUAGAUGAUUGAACUAAUUUAAAUUUAAUAAUGAUCCCAUGACUCUUCUCUGUUUUUGUACACAGCUGGCGGAGAUGGUGGUUAUGAUGAUGUAGAGAAGAAGGAAAGGUUGUACAGUUUUUCUGUUUUAGGUUUACUAGCUAAUUAAAUCAUAGCAGCAGAGAGACACUAGAGGUCAAUGAAGAUCAAAAAUUAAGACAAUGUUACUUCGAAUCAGGUGUUCAGUCACAUACAUAUAAAUUGUGGUAUUUAAUUUAAAUAA
rnacentral:lncRNA from 1 species